rnacentral:sRNA from 1 species
CAGAGCCCAUCUGCUCUCAGAACUUGGUCCUAGAGAGGAGGCUUCCUCCCUGGCUGUGUCUAGAGGAUGGAACCGGGAUCUGGGGCUUAGUCACAGCCAUCUUCCUCCUUUUGGCACAGUUGGUCAUGAUCUCCCAGCACUCCACUUGUGUCCUUUGUCUGCAGGGUUGUGCUCUCAUUCCCCCUAGAAUGGGGAUCCCUCCUCAGGAACCUUGCCAGGACACUCCAGGGUUUCUGUGGGGAGGCUGUCAGGUUCUCAGCCUCCCCUCUGCCCUGAGGUCUCCUGUCUGUCAGGUGUCAGGGUGUCCCAUCCGCCACAUGGCUGCAGAGAGGAUGCUCAGACAGGCCUGCAGCCGCCCUGCAGCCGCCCUGCACCUGCCCUGCACCCGUGGGGGAAUUUAAACUCCAUUCCUGAGUCAUCCUGGCCUUGGGAGCAAGACAAGUGGGCUCAGCCCUGGCCCAUGCCAAGGCAGCAGCUUCCCAUCUCUAAAACGGGAGAAAUGCUCCCUGCCCUCCCUGGAUCCCUGGGGCCCAUUAGGUAAAGAUGGCCAAUUGCAGUUAGGUUUGGUUUCCUUAAAAGGAAUGUGAGGUUGCCAGGCAUUGCUCUCUCUGAGAGAAGGUUCAUUCUGAGCUCUCGGCCAGCUGGGAGCAGGCCCCUUUCCUCACUGUCCUUCCAUGUUUAGGUCCUGUAUGGUGGAAGAGUCGGGGACCCUCGAAUCUCAGCUGGAAGCUACCAAACGCAAGCACCAGGAAAUCCGAGCCAUGAGAAGUCAGCUCAAAAAGAUUGAGGACCUGGGGGCCGCCAUGGAGGAGGCCCUCAUCCUGGACAACAAGUACACGGAGCACAGCACCGUGGGCCUGGCCCAGCAGUGGGACCAGCUGGACCAGCUGGGCAUGCGCAUGCAGCACAACCUGGAGCAGCAGAUCCAGGCCAGGAACACAACAGGUGUGACUGAGGAGGCCCUCAAAGAAUUCAGCAUGAUGUUUAAACACUUUGACAAGGACAAGUCUGGCAGGCUGAACCAUCAGGAGUUCAAAUCUUGCCUGCGCUCCCUGGGCUAUGACCUGCCCAUGGUGGAGGAAGGGGAACCUGACCCUGAGUUCGAGGCAAUCCUGGACACGGUGGAUCCGAACAGAGAUGGCCACGUCUCCCUGCAAGAAUACAUGGCUUUCAUGAUCAGCCGCGAAACUGAGAACGUCAAGUCCAGCGAGGAGAUUGAGAGCGCCUUCCGGGCCCUCAGCUCAGAGGGAAAGCCUUACGUGACCAAGGAGGAGCUCUACCAGAACCUGACCCGGGAACAAGCCGACUACUGCGUCUCCCACAUGAAGCCCUACGUGGACGGCAAGGGCCGCGAGCUCCCCACCGCGUUCGACUACGUGGAGUUCACCCGCUCGCUUUUUGUGAACUGAGCCACUCCCUGGGUCACCCACCCCUCACUGCUUGCCCCGCGUCGCCUUGCUGCAUGUCCGCUCCUCUGUGUGCUCUCACUUUCCACUGUAACCUUAAGCCUGCUUAGCUUGGAAUAAGACUUAGUAGAAAAUGGUGCUUCACUAACCCGCUUCCGGUCCAGUCACAAUCAAUCACCACGUCACUGUGGGGACCCAGAUCUGUGUCUUGAAGCAGCUGCCCUCAUUCCGACUUCAGAAAAAUCAAAGCAGCUGGCUCCUCCCCUUGUUCUCUCUCCCGCCCUCCCCCAAAUCUGUUUUCAUGUAAAAGACAAAUAAACGAUGACUUCCCCC